rnacentral:misc_RNA from 1 species
CAUUGGGAAAAACAAUCAAUUGUUUUUUCAUUCAUGGCUGUAUUUAUUCCCUUUUACUAUAUUGAUUAUCUUGCAUUUUUUUGUGGUGUUAACUCUUGUCUCAUUGAUCUCCUGUGGUUCUGCAGUCUGCUUAUUUUAAGGUGUACAUGCUAUCAAAUCAGAAGGGUUUACAAAGUUGGUGUUCCAUUGUUUUGAUAUAUGAAAUAAAAAUGAUAAAAAAAAAAGAAAGGGAAAGAUUCUAACUCUCAAUUGACCAACAAUACCUGUCCCUUUGGGUGGAAAUUUGUCUUUCACCCUGCUUCUGUGGUUUCAGAUAACCCAUGAAUUAGGAAAUCAUGUUGAACGACACCGUUUUACAUGGAUGGCGUGGGUAAUGGGAGUGGAAGCAUGUUGCUUGCAUGCUGGCAGGGACGUUUGCAUGUUACUUUUAGGGACCUUUGUAUGUUGCAUGGUGGAAGGGGCAAAGGGACCUUCAAACAGGAAGUAUUUGCCAAAUUACCUAAAAUUGUAACUAUGCUAUGAACAGGGAUUUUAGGAGCAAAAAUAAUGUUAUAAAAUGUAUUGUUUGUUUGAAACUCUUUCUCCACUUUAUUUGCAUUUCUUUCAUUUGCUCCUGCCAGUUGUAUUUUAUUUGUGAAAGAUAUGCUAUUGCAAUAUUGUAGUUGUCUUUACAAUUUUGUUGGUCUUUUAUCUUAGUUUAAGGCUCUCUUGAUUUUAAAACUGAUGGUUUUCAAAUUUGGAACAGGGUGCUAUGCUUUUUGGGAAG